GGGCUUGGACGCCGUCGUCGUCCUCGCCCAUCGGCGCGUCAUCCGAAAGAACCCCGUCGGCUCCGUCGAUCUGCUAGACUUGUCCAAGGAGAGGGAGAGCAGCAGUCGCGUUUGGACGCGAGGAGGGGGAGCAGCCAACCGCGCCCGGCCGGCGAGCACCGCGCCCCGUCGUCGUUCAGGAGCAGGACAAACAGCUGGUGACGGAGCUCACAUCAACGCCCGCCGACCACCUCGGUAGUUGAUUCAGGUGUCGGCGACGAGCAAGCACUCCGCUUAGCCUCGCCGUCCGCGCCCACCGACAGCGACAGUCCCCUGGUUGUUGCAGAUGAGACAACCAAAUAGAUGUUGUCAUAGCUAGGAGAGGAGGAGGUGGCUGCGUUGCUGCAGCAUUAGGAAGAGCAUCAUGGCUUCGAAGGUCACACCCUGACGGUGCCUGCCCUGCCACACGAUCCACGCAUGCUGGUACAAAUGGUUCCCUCCUGUGGAUGACAAGGAUGAACAUCGCUGUCGUCACGGCCAAGGGCCUUGCCUUUCUCCACGACGCCAACCUGCCGGUGAUCUACAAGGCCUCCAACAUCUUGCUCUACUCGGUAACUCACACAUAACUUCAGACUUUCUGCUAAGAAAAGUAGCAGUUUUGAAAUGUCUCACAUUUUGGAACUGUAGUGAUGGUUACUGAAAAAUGGGGUCGAAUAGUACUUCACACCUCUUAUGCUGAAAUUACAACACAAAUGAAAAAUAAUUUGAUCAUGAAUCUUAAUUUCAAAUCUCUAUCUUUUGACCAGUUGAACCAUCCAAGAUGCCAUGCUUCUGAACUUAGCU